AUUGUUGUCUCCAGUGCUGGCCCGGUCACUCUGGCAAGUGCACGUAGACAGCUUUCAUCCAAUACCCUUGUGAACCUUUGGCCUCUUGCUAGCUUCGGCCAGCAGAGGAUUUUUACACCCACUCGAAUGUAAUGAAAUUACUGUUGUGCACAAGCACUAAUAUACAACUUUCAACAACGGAUCUCUUGGCUCUCGCAUCGAUGAAGAACGCAGCGAAAUGCGAUAAGUAAUGUGAAUUGCAGAAUUCAGUGAAUCAUCGAAUCUUUGAACGCACCUUGCACCCUUUGGUAUUCCGAAGGGUAUGCUCGUUUGAGUGUCAUUGUACUCUCACACUUCCGAUCGUUGGAUCGGGAGCGGUGGACUUGGGUGUUGCUGCUUUACUGUGGCUCACCUUAAAUGCAUUAGUGCAACUUUCGGUUGGACAUAGUACGGCGUGAUAAGUGUCUUCGCCGGCACCUCACAGAGGGUGGCCAAUCGGGAGCUCUGUGCUUCAAACCGUCUUCGGACAAUAACUGACAACUUGACCUCAAAUCGAGUAGGACUACCCGCUGAACUUAAGCAUAUCAAUAA
rnacentral:rRNA from 1 species